GACGAACGCUGGCGGCGUGCUUAACACAUGCAAGUCGAACGGAAAGGCCCUGCUUUUGUGUGGUGCUCGAGUGGCGAACGGGUGAGUAACACGUGAGUAACCUGCCCUUGACUUUGGGAUAACUUCAGGAAACUGGGGCUAAUACCGGAUAGGAGCUCCUGCUGCAUGGUGGGGGUUGGAAAGUUUCGGCGGUUGGGGAUGGACUCGCGGCUUAUCAGCUUGUUGGUGGGGUAGUGGCUUACCAAGGCUUUGACGGGUAGCCGGCCUGAGAGCGUGACCGGCGACAUUGGGACUGAGAUACGGACCAGACUCCUACGGGAGGCAGCAGUGGGGAAUAUUGCACAAUGGGCGGACGCCUGAUGCAGCAACGCCGCGUGCGGGAUGACGGCCUUCGGGUGGUAAACCGCUUUCGCCUGUGACGAAGCGUGAGUGACGGUAAUGGGUAAAGAAGCACCGGCUAACUACGUG
rnacentral:rRNA from 1 species